rnacentral:rRNA from 1 species
GAUGAACGCUGGCGGCGUGCCUAAUACGUGCAAGUCGAGCGAACGGACGAGGAGCUUGCUUCUCUGAUGUUAGCGGCGGACGGGUGAGUAACACGUGGAUAACCUACCUAUAAGACUGGGAUAACUUCGGGAAACCGGAGCUAAUACCGGAUAAUAUUUUGAACCGCAUGGUUCAAAAGUGAAAGACGGUCUUGCUGUCACUUAUAGAUGGAUCCGCGCUGCAUUAGCUAGUUGGUAAGGUAACGGCUUACCAAGGCAACGAUGCAUAGCCGACCUGAGAGGGUGAUCGGCCACACUGGAACUGAGACACGGUCCAGACUCCUACGGGAGGCAGCAGUAGGGAAUCUUCCGCAAUGGGCGAAAGCCUGACGGAGCAACGCCGCGUGAGUGAUGAAGGUCUUCGGAUCGUAAAACUCUGUUAUUAGGGAAGAACAUAUGUGUAAGUAACUGUGCACAUCUUGACGGUACCUAAUCAGAAAGCCACGGCUAACUACGUG